GAUGAAGAACGCAGCGAAAUGCGAUACGUAGUGUGAAUUGCAGAAUUCAGUGAAUCAUCGAAUCUUUGAACGCACAUUGCACCUCUCGGUAUUCCGGGAGGUAUCCCUGUUCGAGCGUCAUUUGUACCCUCAAGCUCUGCUUGGUGUUGAGUGUUUGUUCCGCCUCUGUGUGUGAACUCGCCUCAAAACAAUUGGCAGCCGGCGUACUUGUUUCGGAGCGCAGCACAUUUUGCGAUCCAGAUCAACGUACAGCGGCAUCCAAGAAGCCUUAUUUAACGCUCUUGACCUCGGAUCAGGUAGGGAUACCCGCUGAACUUAAGCAUAUCAAUAAGCGGAGGA
rnacentral:misc_RNA from 1 species